AAUUUGUCCUUGGUUAAAUUGCU
rnacentral:miRNA from 1 species